rnacentral:rRNA from 1 species
UACGUAUGGUGCAAGCGUUAUCCGGAUCUACUGGGUGUAAAGGGAGCGCAGGCGGUUCUGCAAGUCUGAUGUGAAAGCCCGGGGCUCAACCGCGGGACUGCAUUGGAAACUGCGGGACUGGAGUGUCGGAGGGGUAAGCGGAAUUCCUGGUGUAGCGGUGAAAUGCGUAGAUAUCAGGAGGAACACCGGUGGCGAAGGCGGCUUACUGGACGAUGACUGACGCUGAGGCUCGAAAGCGUGGGGAGCAAACAGG